UACGGGGGGGGUAAGCGUUGUUCGGAAUUACUGGGCGUAAAGGGCUCGUAGGCGGCCAACUAAGUCGGAUGUGAAAUCCCCAGGCUUAACCUGGGAACUGCAUCCGAUACUGGAUGGCUUGAAUCCGGGAGAGGGAUGCAGAAUUCCAGGUGUAGCGGUGAAAUGCGCAGAUAUCAGGAGGAACACCGACGGCGAAGGCAGCACUCUGGGCCGGUACUGACGCUCAUGCACGAAAGCGUGGGGAGCAAACAGG
rnacentral:rRNA from 1 species